rnacentral:rRNA from 1 species
CCUACGGGUGGCAGCAGUGAGGAAUAUUGGUCAAUGGACGCAAGUCUGAACCAGCCAAGUAGCGUGAAGGAUGACGGCUCUAUGGGUUGUAAACUUCUUUUAUACAGGAAUAAAAGGAGGCACGUGUGCCUGUUUGCAUGUACUGUAUGAAUAAGGAUCGGCUAACUCCGUGCCAGCAGCCGCGGUAAUACGGAGGAUCCGAGCGUUAUCCGGAUUUAUUGGGUUUAAAGGGAGCGUAGAUGGUCUGAUAAGUCAGUCGUGAAAGUUUGCGGCUCAACCGUAAAAUUGCAAUUGAUACUGGCAGGCUUGAGUAUAGUUGAGGUAGGCGGAAUGCGUGGUGUAGCGGUGAAAUGCUUAGAGAUCACGAAGAACCCCGAUUGCGAAGGCAGCUUACUAAGCUGUGACUGACGUUGAUGCUCGAAAGUGUGGGGAGCAAACAGGAUUAGAUACCCGGGUAGUC